GAUGAACGCUGGCGGCGUGCCUAAUACAUGCAAGUCGAGCGAAUGGAUUAAGAGCUUGCUCUUAUGAAGUUAGCGGCGGACGGGUGAGUAACACGUGGGUAACCUGCCCAUAAGACUAGGAUAACUCCGGGAAACCGGGGCUAAUACCGGAUAACAUUUUGAACCGCAUGGUUCGAAAUAGAAAGGCGGCUUCGGCUGUCACUUAUGGAUGGACGCGCGUCGCAUUAGCUAGUUGGUGAGGUAACGGCUCACCAAGGCAACGAUGCGUAGCCGACCUGAGAGGGUGAUCGGCCACACUGGGACUGAGACACGGCCCAGACUCCUACGGGAGGCAGCAGUAGGGAAUCUUCCGCAAUGGACGAAAGUCUGACGGAGCAACGCCGCGUGAGUGAUGAAGGCUUUCGGGUCGUAAAACUCUGUUGUUAGGGAAGAACAAGUGCUAGUUGAAUAAGCUGGCACCUUGACGGUACCUAACCAGAAAGCCACGGCUAACUACGUGCCAGCAGCCGCAGUAA
rnacentral:rRNA from 1 species